UGCAGUCGAGCGGCGACGCGGNAAGCUUGCUUCCUGGUGGCAAGCGCGGACGGCUGAGUAAUGCUAGGAAUCUGCCCGGUAGUGGGGGAUAACCUGGGGAAACCCCCGCUAAUACCGCAUACGUCCUACGGGAGCAGCAGGGGCUCUUCGGACCUUGCGCUGGGCAUGAGCCUAUGUCGGAUUAUCUGGUUGGAGAGGUCUUGCCUCGCCA
rnacentral:rRNA from 1 species